UUAAGCGACUAAGCGUACACGGUGGAUGCCCUGGCAGUCAGAGGCGAUGAAGGACGUGCUAAUCUGCGAUAAGCGUCGGUAAGGUGAUAUGAACCGUUAUAACCGGCGAUUUCCGAAUGGGGAAACCCAGUGUGUUUCGACACACUAUCAUUAACUGAAUCCAUAGGUUAAUGAGGCGAACCGGGGGAACUGAAACAUCUAAGUACCCCGAGGAAAAGAAAUCAACCGAGAUUCCCCCAGUAGCGGCGAGCGAACGGGGAGCAGCCCAGAGCCUGAAUCAGUAUGUGUGUUAGUGGAAGCGUCUGGAAAGGCGCGCGAUACAGGGUGACAGCCCCGUACACAAAAAUGCACAUGCUGUGAGCUCGAUGAGUAGGGCGGGACACGUGGUAUCCUGUCUGAAUAUGGGGGGACCAUCCUCCAAGGCUAAAUACUCCUGACUGACCGAUAGUGAACCAGUACCGUGAGGGAAAGGCGAAAAGAACCCCGGCGAGGGGAGUGAAAAAGAACCUGAAACCGUGUACGUACAAGCAGUGGGAGCACGCUUAGGCGUGUGACUGCGUACCUUUUGUAUAAUGGGUCAGCGACUUAUAUUCUGUAGCAAGGUUAACCGAAUAGGGGAGCCGAAGGGAAACCGAGUCUUAACUGGGCGUUAAGUUGCAGGGUAUAGACCCGAAACCCGGUGAUCUAGCCAUGGGCAGGUUGAAGGUUGGGUAACACUAACUGGAGGACCGAACCGACUAAUGUUGAAAAAUUAGCGGAUGACUUGUGGCUGGGGGUGAAAGGCCAAUCAAACCGGGAGAUAGCUGGUUCUCCCCGAAAGCUAUUUAGGUAGCGCCUCGUGAAUUCAUCUCCGGGGGUAGAGCACUGUUUCGGCAAGGGGGUCAUCCCGACUUACCAACCCGAUGCAAACUGCGAAUACCGGAGAAUGUUAUCACGGGAGACACACGGCGGGUGCUAACGUCCGUCGUGAAGAGGGAAACAACCCAGACCGCCAGCUAAGGUCCCAAAGUCAUGGUUAAGUGGGAAACGAUGUGGGAAGGCCCAGACAGCCAGGAUGUUGGCUUAGAAGCAGCCAUCAUUUAAAGAAAGCGUAAUAGCUCACUGGUCGAGUCGGCCUGCGCGGAAGAUGUAACGGGGCUAAACCAUGCACCGAAGCUGCGGCAGCGACGCUUAUGCGUUGUUGGGUAGGGGAGCGUUCUGUAAGCCUGUGAAGGUGUGCUGUGAGGCAUGCUGGAGGUAUCAGAAGUGCGAAUGCUGACAUAAGUAACGAUAAAGCGGGUGAAAAGCCCGCUCGCCGGAAGACCAAGGGUUCCUGUCCAACGUUAAUCGGGGCAGGGUGAGUCGACCCCUAAGGCGAGGCCGAAAGGCGUAGUCGAUGGGAAACAGGUUAAUAUUCCUGUACUUGGUGUUACUGCGAAGGGGGGACGGAGAAGGCUAUGUUGGCCGGGCGACGGUUGUCCCGGUUUAAGCGUGUAGGCUGGUUUUCCAGGCAAAUCCGGAAAAUCAAGGCUGAGGCGUGAUGACGAGGCACUACGGUGCUGAAGCAACAAAUGCCCUGCUUCCAGGAAAAGCCUCUAAGCAUCAGGUAACAUCAAAUCGUACCCCAAACCGACACAGGUGGUCAGGUAGAGAAUACCAAGGCGCUUGAGAGAACUCGGGUGAAGGAACUAGGCAAAAUGGUGCCGUAACUUCGGGAGAAGGCACGCUGAUAUGUAGGUGAAGUCCCUCGCGGAUGGAGCUGAAAUCAGUCGAAGAUACCAGCUGGCUGCAACUGUUUAUUAAAAACACAGCACUGUGCAAACACGAAAGUGGACGUAUACGGUGUGACGCCUGCCCGGUGCCGGAAGGUUAAUUGAUGGGGUCAGCGCAAGCGAAGCUCUUGAUCGAAGCCCCGGUAAACGGCGGCCGUAACUAUAACGGUCCUAAGGUAGCGAAAUUCCUUGUCGGGUAAGUUCCGACCUGCACGAAUGGCGUAAUGAUGGCCAGGCUGUCUCCACCCGAGACUCAGUGAAAUUGAACUCGCUGUGAAGAUGCAGUGUACCCGCGGCAAGACGGAAAGACCCCGUGAACCUUUACUAUAGCUUGACACUGAACAUUGAGCCUUGAUGUGUAGGAUAGGUGGGAGGCUUUGAAGUGUGGACGCCAGUCUGCAUGGAGCCGACCUUGAAAUACCACCCUUUAAUGUUUGAUGUUCUAACGUUGACCCGUGAUCCGGGUUGCGGACAGUGUCUGGUGGGUAGUUUGACUGGGGCGGUCUCCUCCUAAAGAGUAACGGAGGAGCACGAAGGUUGGCUAAUCCUGGUCGGACAUCAGGAGGUUAGUGCAAUGGCAUAAGCCAGCUUGACUGCGAGCGUGACGGCGCGAGCAGGUGCGAAAGCAGGUCAUAGUGAUCCGGUGGUUCUGAAUGGAAGGGCCAUCGCUCAACGGAUAAAAGGUACUCCGGGGAUAACAGGCUGAUACCGCCCAAGAGUUCAUAUCGACGGCGGUGUUUGGCACCUCGAUGUCGGCUCAUCACAUCCUGGGGCUGAAGUAGGUCCCAAGGGUAUGGCUGUUCGCCAUUUAAAGUGGUACGCGAGCUGGGUUUAGAACGUCGUGAGACAGUUCGGUCCCUAUCUGCCGUGGGCGCUGGAGAACUGAGGGGGGCUGCUCCUAGUACGAGAGGACCGGAGUGGACGCAUCACUGGUGUUCGGGUUGUCAUGCCAAUGGCACUGCCCGGUAGCUAAAUGCGGAAGAGAUAAGUGCUGAAAGCAUCUAAGCACGAAACUUGCCCCGAGAUGAGUUCUCCCUGACUCCUUGAGAGUCCUGAAGGAACGUUGAAGACGACGACGUUGAUAGGCCGGGUGUGUAAGCGCAGCGAUGCGUUGAGCUAACCGGUACUAAUGAACCGUGAGGCUUAACCUU
rnacentral:rRNA from 1 species